UACAGAGGGUGCGAGCGUUAAUCGGAAUUACUGGGCGUAAAGGGUGUGUAGGUGGUUAGGUAAGUUAGAUGUGAAAUCCCCGGGCUUAACCUGGGAACUGCUUUUAAAACUGCUUAGCUAGAGUAUUGCAGAGGAUAGUGGAAUUUCCAGUGUAGCGGUGAAAUGCGUAGAUAUUGGGAGGAACACCAGUGGCGAAGGCGACUAUCUGGGCAGAUACUGACACUGAGGCACGAAAGCAUGGGGAGCAAACAGG
rnacentral:rRNA from 1 species